rnacentral:tRNA from 1 species
UAUUAAGUAACUUAAACAAAAGUAUUGAUUUCUUAAAUCAAAAAUAAUAUUAUAUAUUCUUAAUAA